rnacentral:tRNA from 2 species
AGUCUUUAGUUGAGUUACAAUAUGAAAUUGCAAGUUUCAAGGAGUUGACUUUG